CACUCCUGCGGGAGGCAGCAGUAGGGAAUCUUCCACAAUGGGUGCAAACCUGAUGGAGCAAUGCCGCGUGAGUGAAGAAGGUCUUCGGAUCGUAAAGCUCUGUUGUUAGAGAAGAACACGUGCUAGGUAACUACUAGCGCCUUGACGGUAUCUAACCAGAAAGUCACGGCUAACUACGUGCCAGCAGCCGCGGUAAUACGUAGGUGACAAGCGUUGUCCGGAUUUAUUGGGCGUAAAGGGAGCGCAGGCGGUCUGUUUAGUCUAAUGUGAAAGCCCACGGCUUAACCGUGGAACGGCAUUGGAAACUGACAGACUUGAAUGUAGAAGAGGAAAAUGGAAUUCCAAGUGUAGCGGUGGAAUGCGUAGAUAUUUGGAGGAACACCAGUGGCGAAGGCGAUUUUCUGGUCUAACAUUGACGCUGAGGCUCGAAAGCGUGGGGAGCGAACAGGAUUAGAAACCCCAGUAGUCC
rnacentral:rRNA from 1 species